rnacentral:tRNA from 2 species
GCCUUCUUAGCUCAGUGGUAGAGCGUUGCACUUGUAUGGAUUGCGUCGAAAGGAAAUGCAAAGGUCAGUCGUUCAAUCCGGCUAGGAGGCA